rnacentral:tRNA from 1 species
GCAGUCGUGGCCUGGUUAGGGCUUCGGGCUUGGAACCGGAGGGUUGCCGGUUCGAUCCCUGACCAGUGGG